AACAGGAUUAGAUACCCUGGUAGUCCACGCCCUAAACGAUGUCUACUAGUUGUCAGGUUUUAAUUAACUUGGUAACGCAGCUAACGCGUGAAGUAGACCGCCUGGGGAGUACGGUCGCAAGAUUAAAACUCAAAGGAAUUGACGGGGACCCGCACAAGCGGUGGAUGAUGUGGAUUAAUUCGAUGCAACGCGAAAAACCUUACCUACCCUUGACAUGUCAGGAACCUCGGAGAGAUCUGAGGGUGCUCGAAAGAGAGCCUGAACACAGGUGCUGCAUGGCUGUCGUCAGCUCGUGUCGUGAGAUGUUGGGUUAAGUCCCGCAACGAGCGCAACCCUUGUCAUUAGUUGCUACGCAAGAGCACUCUAAUGAGACUGCCGGUGACAAACCGGAGGAAGGUGGGGAUGACGUCAAGUCCUCAUGGCCCUUAUGGGUAGGGCUUCACACGUCAUACAAUGGUACAUACAGAGGGCCGCCAACCCGCGAGGGGGAGCUAAUCCCAGAAAGUGUAUCGUAGUCCGGAUUGUAGUCUGCAACUCGACUACAUGAAGUUGGAAUCGCUAGUAAUCGCGGAUCAGCAUGUCGCGGUGAAUACGUUCCCGGGUCUUGUACACACCGCCCGUCACACCAUGGGAGCGGGUUUUACCAGAAGUAGGUAGCUUAACCGCAAGGAGGGCGCUUACCACGGUAGGAUUCGUGACUGGGGUGAAGUCGUAACAAGGUAACC
rnacentral:rRNA from 1 species